AUUGAACGCUGGCGGCAGGCCUAACACAUGCAAGUCGAACGAGUGGCGGACGGGUGAGUAAUGUCUGGGAAACUGCCUAAUGGAGGGGAAUAACUACUGGAAACGGUAGCUAAUACCGCAUACCAUCAUAUGUGCCCAGAUGGGAGUAGCUUGUUGGUGGGGUAACGGCGCACAAAGGCGACGAGCCCUAGCUGGUCUGCGAGGAUGACGAGCCACACUGUAACUGAGACACGGCCCAGACUCCUACGUGAGGCAGCAGUGGGGAAUAUUGCACAAUGGGCGAAAGCCGGAUGCAGCCAUGCCGCGUGUAUGAAGAAGGCCUUCGGGUUGUAAAGUACUUUCAGCGGGGAGGCGUUACCCGAAGAAGAAGCACCGGCUAACUCCGUGCCAGCAGCCGCGGUAAUAC
rnacentral:rRNA from 1 species